rnacentral:rRNA from 1 species
GUGGGGAAUAUUGGACAAUGGGCGAAAGCCUGAUCCAGCCAUGCCGCGUGUGUGAAGAAGGUCUUCGGAUUGUAAAGCACUUUAAGUUGGGAGGAAGGGCAGUAAGUUAAUACCUUGCUGUUUUGACGUUACCGACAGAAUAAGCACCGGCUAACUUCGUGCCAGCAGCCGCGGUAAUACGAAGGGUGCAAGCGUUAAUCGGAAUUACUGGGCGUAAAGCGCGAGUAGGUGGUUUUGUAAGUUGGAGGUGAAAUCCCCGGGCUCAAACUGGGAACUGACUCCAAAACUGCAUGACUAGAGUACGGUAGAGGGUAGUGGAAUUUCCUGUGUAGCGGUGAAAUGCGUAGAUAUAGGAAGGAACACCAGUGGCGAAGGCGACUACCUGGACUGAUACUGACACUGAGGUGCGAAAGCGUGGGGAGCAAACAGGAUUAGAAACCCGGGUAGUCC